GUAGGUGGCAAGCGUUGUCCGGAAUUAUUGGGCGUAAAGCGCGCGCAGGUGGUUCUUUAAGUCUGAUGUGAAAGCCCCCGGCUCAACCGGGGAGGGUCAUUGGAAACUGGGGAACUUGAGUGCAGGAGAGGAAAGUGGAAUUCCACGUGUAGCGGUGAAAUGCGUAGAUAUGUGGAGGAACACCAGUGGCGAAGGCGACUUUCUGGCCUGUAACUGACACUGAGGCGCGAAUGCGUGGGGAGCAAACGGGGGAUUAGAUUCCCUGGUAGUCCACGCCGUAAACGAUGAGUGCUAAGUGUUGGGGGGGUUUCCCGCCCCUCAGUGCUGCAGCUAACGCAUUAAGCACUCCGCCUGGGGAUACGGUCGCAAGACUG
rnacentral:rRNA from 1 species